AAGGGAGCUUGCUCCCGGAUGUUAGCGGCGGACGGGUGAGUAACACGUGGGUAACCUGCCUGUAAGACUGGGAUAACUCCGGGAAACCGGAGCUAAUACCGGAUAGUUCCUUGAACCGCAUGGUUCAAGGAUGAAAGACGGUUUCGGCUGUCACUUACAGAUGGACCCGCGGCGCAUUAGCUAGUUGGUGAGGUAACGGCUCACCAAGGCGACGAUGCGUAGCCGACCUGAGAGGGUGAUCGGCCACACUGGGACUGAGACACGGCCCAGACUCCUACGGGAGGCAGCAGUAGGGAAUCUUCCGCAAUGGACGAAAGUCUGACGGAGCAACGCCGCGUGAGUGAUGAAGGUUUUCGGAUCGUAAAGCUCUGUUGUUAGGGAAGAACAAGUGCAAGAGUAACUGCUUGCACCUUGACGGUACCUAACCAGAAAGCCACGGCUAACUACGUGCCAGCAGCCGCGGUAAUACGUAGGUGGCAAGCGUUGUCCGGAAUUAUUGGGCGUAAAGGGCUCGCAGGCGGUUUCUUAAGUCUGAUGUGAAAGCCCCCGGCUCAACCGGGGAGGGUCAUUGGAAACUGGGAAACUUGAGUGCAGAAGAGGAGAGUGGAAUUCCACGUGUAGCGGUGAAAUGCGUAGAGAUGUGGAGGAACACCAGUGGCGAAGGCGACUCUCUGGUCUGUAACUG
rnacentral:rRNA from 1 species